AACGAACGCUGGCGGCAGGCUUAACACAUGCAAGUCGAGCGCAUCGCAAGGUGAGCGGCGGACGGGUUAGUAACGCGUGGGAACGUGCCCUUUUCUUCGGAAUAGCUUCGGGAAACUGAAGGUAAUACCGGAUACGCCCUUCGGGGGAAAGAUUCAUCGGGGAAGGAUCGGCCCGCGUCUGAUUAGGUAGUUGGUGGGGUAAUGGCCUACCAAGCCGACGAUCAGUAGCUGGUUUGAGAGGAUGAUCAGCAACACUGGGACUGAGACACGGCCCAGACUCCUACGGGAGGCAGCAGUGGGGAAUCUUAGACAAUGGGCGCAAGCCUGAUCUAGCCAUGCCGCGUGGAUGAUGAAGGCCUUAGGGUCGUAAAGUCCUUUCGCUGGGGAAGAUAAUGACGGUACCCAGUAAAGAAACCCCGGCUAACUCCGUGCCAGCCGCCGCGGUAACAC
rnacentral:rRNA from 1 species